UACGGAGGAUGCGAGCGUUAUCCGGAUUUAUUGGGUUUAAAGGGAGCGCAGACGGGGGAUUAAGUCAGUUGUGAAAGUUUGGGGCUCAACCUUAAAAUUGCAGUUGAUACUGGUUCUCUUGAGUGCAGUUGAGGCAGGCGGAAUUCGUGGUGUAGCGGUGAAAUGCUUAGAUAUCACGAAGAACCCCGAUUGCGAAGGCAGCUUGCUAAGCUGUAACUGACGUUCAUGCUCGAAAGUGUGGGUAUCAAACAGG
rnacentral:rRNA from 1 species